rnacentral:tRNA from 1 species
GUCUGAGAAUUUUUAAGGUUCACAAUACCUAAACCUGGAGUCAGGAAGAUUUGGGUUCAAAUCCCACCUCAGACA